CCACGUAAGCAUCAAGAACUUACAAACCAUAAAAUAAGACUGGAACAAACAGAUGAAAAUAUUGGUCACAUAAUUCAAAUUCCUCUCUGGAGUCGUCACAAGGAGAAAAUUUCACUAGCUUCUGCAGUUAACUGAAGGUCGACUUUGCCUUCAAUUUUCAGCGAUCGGAACUAGAGGAUCAGGAAGGGGAGUUGAUAAGCCAAAAAAGUUAAGAAUUUUAAGAAAUAUUGAAUUAUCGAUGUUUCGCAUGGACAGCAACAGGGUCGGCCUAGGUCAGUGAUGGACAAACAAUCACAAACCCAAUUGUCCAAGCGAAUUUAAAAGGAGCACAACUACGGAUCGUCUAGACCCUAGAACGUAAGGACAAUGAAGUGUACACGAAUGUUGAGAUGAACAUAAACAACAAAUUAAACGAACUAAGACGUAACGAUAAUUAUAAUA